CUCAGGACGAACGCGGGCGGCGUGCCUAAUACAUGCAAGUCGAGCGGACAGAAGGGAGCUUGCUCCCGGAUGUUAGCGGCGGACGGGUGAGUAACACGUGGGUAACCUGCCUGUAAGACUGGGAUAACUCCGGGAAACCGGAGCUAAUACCGGAUAGUUCCUUGAACCGCAUGGUUCAAGGAUGAAAGACGGUUUCGGCUGUCACUUACAGAUGGACCCGCGGCGCAUUAGCUAGUUGGUGGGGUAAUGGCUCACCAAGGCGACGAUGCGUAGCCGACCUGAGAGGGUGAUCGGCCACACUGGGACUGAGACACGGCCCAGACUCCUACGGGAGGCAGCAGUAGGGAAUCUUCCGCAAUGGACGAAAGUCUGACGGAGCAACGCCGCGUGAGUGAUGAAGGUUUUCGGAUCGUAAAGCUCUGUUGUUAGGGAAGAACAAGUGCGAGAGUAACUGCUCGCACCUUGACGGUACCUAACCAGAAAGCCACG
rnacentral:rRNA from 1 species